GGGCUGCACCGCGGAUCGAACGCGGGGCCUCUUGCAGGGGUGGCUUCUGAUUGGUCAGAAUUGAACCCAAAGCAAGAAUCAUACCACUAGACCAUGCAGCC